rnacentral:rRNA from 1 species
AUCAGUGGCGAACGGGUGAGUAACACGUGAGCAAUCUGCCCUUGACUCUGGGAUAACUGCGGGAAACUGUAGCUAAUACCGGAUAUUACCUUGGAAGGCAUCUUCUGGGGUGGAAAGAAUUUUGGUCAAGGAUGAGCUCGCGGCCUAUCAGCUAGUUGGUGAGGUAAUGGCUCACCAAGGCGACGACGGGUAGCCGGCCUGAGAGGGUGACCGGCCACACUGGUACUGAGACACGGACCAGACUCCUACGGGAGGCAGCAGUAAGGAAUAUUGGUCAAUGGAGGCAACUCUGAACCAGCCAUGCCGCGUGCAGGAAGACGGCCCUACGGGUUGUAAACUGCUUUUAUACCGGAAUAAACCCCCGAUCGUGAUCGGGGUUGAAUGUACGGUAAGAAUAAGGAUCGGCUAACUCCGUGCCAGCAGCCGCGGUAAUACGGAGGAUCCAAGCGUUAUCCGGAUUUAUUGGGUUUAAAGGGUGCGUAGGCG